UUCCAGCUCCAAUAGCGUAUAUUAAAGUUGUUGCAGUUAAAAAGCUCGUAGUUGGAUUUGUGGUUGGGUCCGUUGGUCCGGCACAUUGUGCGGGUACUUGAUGGACUCGUCCAUCCUUGGGUGGAAUCUGUGUGGCAUUAAGUUGUCGUGCAGGGGAUGCCCAUCGUUUACUGUGAAAAAAUUAGAGUGUUCAAAGCAGGCUUAUGCCGUUGAAUAUAUUAGCAUGGAAUAAUGAGAUAGGACCUUGGUACUAUUUUGUUGGUUUGCGCACCGAGGUAAUGAUUAAUAGGGACAGUCGGGGGCAUUUGUAUUCAAACGACAGAGGUGAAAUUCUUGGACCGUUUGAAGACAAACUACUGCGAAAGCAUUUGCCAAGAAUGUUCUCAUUA
rnacentral:rRNA from 1 species